UGGGGAAUAUUGGACAAUGGGGGCAACCCUGAUCCAGCAAUGCCGCGUGUGUGAAGAAGGCCUUCGGGUUGUAAAGCACUUUAGGCGGGGAAGAAGGCAUGGUGGUGAACCAUGAUUGACGGUACCCGCAGAAUAAGCACCGGCUAACUCUGUGCCAGCAGCCGCGGUAAUACAGAGGGUGCAAGCGUUAAUCGGAGUUACUGGGCGUAAAGGGCGCGUAGGUGGGUUGUUAAGUGAGAUGUGAAAUCCCCGGGCUUAACCUGGGAACUGCAUCUUAUACUGGCGAUCUAGAGUACUGUAGAGGGUAGUGGAAUUUCCGGUGUAGCGGUGAAAUGCGUAGAGAUCGGAAGGAACACCAGUGGCGAAGGCGGCUACCUGGACAGAUACUGACACUGAGGCGCGAGAGCGUGGGGAGCAAACAGGAUUAGAUACCCCCGUAGUCC
rnacentral:rRNA from 1 species